rnacentral:pre_miRNA from 1 species
AUCCAAAUCACCUAGGUCUCUUGUUAGAAUACAGGCUCUGAUUCAAUAGGUCUAGAAUGAGUCCUGAGAAUCUGCAUUUCUAACAAGCUCCCAGGUGGUGAUGAU